rnacentral:rRNA from 1 species
GACGAACGCUGGCGGCGUGCCUAAUACAUGCAAGUCGAACGAACAGGCCCUGCUCUUGUGGGGUGCUCGUGUGGCGAACGGGUGUGUAACACGCGAGUAUCCUCCCCCUGUCUUUGUGAUAUCUCCAGGAAACUGCGGCUAUUACAGGAUAGAAGCUCUUGAUGCAUGGUGGGCGUUGGAGAGUUUCGGCGGUUCGGGAUGGACUCGCAGCUUAUCAGCUUCUUGGUGAGGUAGUGGCUUACCAAGGCUACGACGGGUAGCCGGCCUUAGAGGGUGACCAGGGACAAUAGGACUGAGAGACGGAGCAGACGCCUACGGGAGGCAGCAGUGGAGAGUAUUGCACAAUGAGCCGACGCCUGAUACAGCAACGCCGGGUGCGGAAUGCUGUGUUACGGGGUAUAAACCGCUUUCGACUGAAACGAAGCGUGAGUGACGGUAAUGAGUAAGAAAGCACCGGCUAACUACGUG